UUGUUGGUAAGGUAAAGGCUUACCAAGGCUUCGAUCAGUAGCUGGUCUGAGAGGACGGCCAGCCACACUGGGACUGAGACACGGCCCAGACUCCUACGGGAGGCAGCAGUGGGGAAUUUUGGACAAUGGGGGAAACCCUGAUCCAGCCAUGCCGCGUGAGUGAAGAAGGCCUUCGGGUUGUAAAGCUCUUUCAGCCGGAACGAAACGGUUACGGAUAAUACCCGUGACUACUGACGGUACCGGAAGAAGAAGCACCGGCUAACUACGUGCCAGCAGCCGCGGUAAUACGUAGGGUGCAAGCGUUAAUCGGAAUUACUGGGCGUAAAGCGUGCGCAGGUGGUUUUGUAAGUCAGAUGUGAAAGCCCCGGGCUCAACCUGGGAACUGCGUUUGAAACUACAAGACUAGAGUGUGGCAGAGGGGGGUGGAAUUCCGCGUGUAGCAGUGAAAUGCGUAGAGAUGUGGAGGAACACCGAUGGCGAAGGCAGCCCCCUGGGUUAACACUGACACUCAGGCACGAAAGCAUGGGGAGCAAACAGGAUUAGAUACCCUGGUAGUCCAUGCCCUAAACGAUGUCAACUAGUUGUCGGGCCUUUACGGGCUUGGUAACGUAGCUAACGCGUGAAGUUGACCGCCUGGGGAGUACGAUCGCAAGAUUAAAACUCAAAUGAAUUGACGGGGACCCGCACAAGCGGUGGAUUAUGUGGAUUAAUUCGAUGCAACGCGAAAAACCUUACCUACCCUUGACAUGUAUCGAAGCCCGCAGAAAAGCGGGGGUGCCCGAAAGGGAACGAUAACACAGGUGCUGCAUGGCUGUCGUCAGCUCGUGUCGUGAGAUGUUGGGUUAAGUCCCGCAACGAGCGCAACCCUUGUCAUUAAUUGCCAUCAUUUAGUUGGGCACUUUAAUGAGACUGCCGG
rnacentral:rRNA from 1 species